rnacentral:tRNA from 1 species
GCGGAUGUAGCCAAGUGGUU